rnacentral:rRNA from 1 species
UUGCCUACGGGGCGCAGCAGUGGGGAAUAUUGCACAAUGGGGGAAACCCUGAUGCAGCAACGCCGCGUGAGUGAAGAAGUAUUUCGGUAUGUAAAGCUCUAUCAGCAGGGAAGAAAAUGACGGUACCUGAGUAAGAAGCCCCGGCUAACUACGUGCCAGCAGCCGCGGUAAUACGUAGGUGGCAAGCGUUAUCCGGAUUUACUGGGUGUAAAGGGCGUGUAGGCGGGACUGCAAGUCAGAUGUGAAAACCACGGGCUCAACCUGUGGCCUGCAUUUGAAACUGUAGUUCUUGAGUACUGGAGAGG